AGGUUCAUUUUUAUUUAAAUUCCCCAGAAUCUGCGGUAGGAGGCACACCUUACUAUAAUGAUGUCAGCACAGGUCCAACAGAGCAACAAGUCACACCAGAGAAUUAUGAUGAUGUAAUCACUGUUGGACUGACACAUCAUACUAGAGGUGACAUAUCAGAAAGCUAUGAUGAUGUUGUCAUCAUAAGACAGCUCUCCAAUAAUAAAGCAGAGGGAGAUCUGGAGGAGUAUGAUAAUGUAAGGAAUGUCAGUGAAGAUGUGCGAGACCUGUCUG